GCAAGUCGAACGGCAGCGGGGGAAAGCUUGCUUUCCUGCCGGCGAGUGGCGGACGGGUGAGUAAAGCGUAGGAAUCUGCCUGGUAGUGGGGGAUAACCUGGGGAAACCCAGGCUAAUACCGCAUAAGCUUUGCGAAGGAAAGCGGGCCUCUGAAGAUGCUCGCGCUACCAGAUGAGCCUACGUCGGAUUAGCUAGUUGGUGAGGUAAAGGCUCACCAAGGCGACGAUCCGUAGCUGGUCUGAGAGGAUGAUC
rnacentral:rRNA from 1 species